UUUUUUUUUUUUUUUUCCUUCUCUAAACUCUCCUUUUGUUUUGAUCAACAAUUAUUAUGUUUUCUAUUAUACAUGGACUUUCCAAAUCGCUGGUUGCUUUUAAAACCCAAAGAAAGAAUAAAUUUUUACUCUUCGCACUGCUAGGGGAUGCUUUGAGCUUCCGAAAUAAACCUAAUCAAUCAGGGAUUUUAAUCUUAGAAACCCUAAUUAUGGCAAAAUAUGGAGAAAUUUAGCUGACCCAUAAUAGAUUUCAAUCACUGUGAUUGCAACAGAUGCAAUCUCCAUACAGUAAGAGGGGAAGAUUUAGUUGUAUUUGCAGGGUGUAGAGUUAGGGUUUCAUGAUCAGUCUGAAAUUUCCAUAAUGAUGUGAUAUUAGAAGCUAGAAAGGACUAUUGGAGCUUAAUUUGUUGGUAUUGAUAUCCACUGUGUUUGCCAGUUGUUGGCAGUUUAAGGUUUAUGGUGUAUAAUGAUUAUUUAUCAAAUUCUGUUUGUAUAAUCAUAUCUAUCAAAUAUUGUGAUCUAAGAGGCAAUCCCGCAUUCCUGCAUUUUAUUUUUUUUAGUAAAAAACAAAGAUUGAUUGGAGAUGGUGCCAGAAAGGGAUUGGAGGUAGAGAAUUAGCAAUGAUUCAACAAUUCUUAUUGCCACCUCCAUUGCACUUCUGAUCCUUAUGUACUGUAAUGUUGAACAGUCAAUCAUGGAUUUGUAAAAAUGUUUUAGCAAGAGUAAUUGGAGUUUUGACUAUUGAACUGUAGUAGAGUUACAUAGAUGAUUCCUUUUCAUCAGUAUUUGUUCUUUUUUAUUUGCAGAGAAUCAUGGCCUCCAAAGCUGAAGGUGAUAGGAAGGAACCAAUAAAUGAACAGGCAGUUGUGAAUGCAUACACUGCUAUGCGGUCUGAACUGAAUCAAAUUUACUCAAAGAUCACUGAGCUUGAGAUGGAAGUGAGUGAGCACUCAUUGGUCAUUAAUGCUAUCCAACCACUUGACCCAUCCAGACGGUGCUACCGAAUGAUUGGAGGUGUGCUGGUUGAGAGAACUAUCAAAGAGGUCCUGCCUGCUGUCCAGCGCAAUAAAGAGGGGAUUGAGGAGGUAAUUGCAAGGCUUAAUGAGGCCUUGGAAAAGAAGAAAAAGGAAAUUGCUGAAUUUGAAACUAAAUACAAGAUCAAGAUAAGGAAGCCUGAAAAUGAGGUGCAGGAUGAUGGUGGCAAGAAGGAAGGUUCUUCUCAAGGAGUACUCGUGGGUCCUGCAAGUUCAAAUGAAUGAAUUCAUAAAGUUCAAGGUUCUUCUCAAGGAGUUAUUGUAAUUUUUUUUAUCCCCUUCUAUGUUUUCUUAGACAAGUUUGAUAAAGUUGUACUUUUUGUUGAGGUGCACCAGUUGUUGGAUGUGAACUUUGUUGAUCAUGAUUGUAGACUAGCUGAUAUUGCUGAACCAGAUACUGUUUUGAUCCUAUUUUCAGUGACAGGGCAACUAUUUAUGGCACAAGAGCAAAACUAAUGGUGUGAUAAUGUAGAUGAGAAUCAACAGUACCAUAUCCAUAUGUGUAUUUCAAGUUGUAAGAUGAAAAUGAGUUUUUUUGGGUGCAAUUG
rnacentral:misc_RNA from 1 species